rnacentral:sRNA from 1 species
CUGUGACUGGUGCUGGAGUUUUGAGUCCACGGAUAAAAUGUGUCUCCUUCGUCUCCACUAGAGAGGAAAAAGAACUGGAAUUGGAAGAACAGGGAGACUGAAGGGUAGCAAGAGAGGCUGGAGAAGAGAGUGAAAAGACCGCUUACCUGAUUUGAAAUUGUCUGCAGCCCCUCUUUCCUGGAGUAAAUGAACUGGACCAAAUCUCAAAAAUCCACGAUGUCAUCGGCACACCUGCUCAGAAGACCCUCACCAAGUUCAAACAGGAUCAGGAAUACCUCUACUGACAACCAAUUUGUCCCCACAAUGCCUCUCCCUCCUGCACGCAAUGGUGGCCUAUGAUCCCGAUGAGAGAAUCGCCGCCCACCAGGCCCUGCAGCACCCCUACUUCCAAGAACAGAGGAAAACAGAGAAGCGGGCUCUGGGCAGCCACAGAAAAGCUGGCUUUCCGGAGCACCCUGUGGCACCGGAACCACUCAGUAACAGCUGCCAGAUUUCCAAGGAGGGCAGAAAGCAGUCCCUAAAGCAAGAGGAGGACCGUCCCAAGAG